GUAGGGAAUAUUGCGCAAUGGGGGAAACCCUGACGCAGCGACGCCGCGUGAGUGAUGAAGGCCUUCGGGUCGUAAAGCUCUGUUGCAGGGGAAUAAAAAAAUGAAGGUACCCUGUGAGGAAGGAUCGGCUAACUUCGUGCCAGCAGCCGCGGUAAGACGAGGGAUCCUAGCGUUGCUCGGAAUCAUUGGGCGUAAAGAGGGCGUAGGUGGCUUGGUAAGUCAGGUGUGAAAGCCCAGGGCUCAACCCUGGAAGUGCAUUUGAUACUGCUGAGCUUGAGUGUCGGAGAGGUUACCGGAAUACCUGGUGUAGUGGUGAAAUACGUAGAUAUCAGGUGGAACACCGGAGGCGAAGGCGGGUAACUGGACGAACACUGACACUGAGGCCCGAAAGCGUGGGGAUCAACAGGAUUAGAUACCCUGGUAGUCC
rnacentral:rRNA from 1 species